rnacentral:misc_RNA from 1 species
UGAGACACUGAGACCGAA